rnacentral:rRNA from 1 species
GAUGAACGCUAGCUUCAGGCCUAACACAUGCAAGUCGAGGGACCGGCGCAAGGGUGAGCAACAUGUAUCCAACCUUCCCUUUACUCGGCGAUAGCCUUUCGAUAGAAAGAUUAAUAUCCGAUAUAAAGGAUGGGGAUGCGUUCCAUUAGGUUGUUGGUGAGGUAACGGCUCACCAACCCCUCGAUGGAUAGGGGUUCUGAGAAGAAGGUACCCCACAAUGGAACUGAGACACGGUCCAAACUCCUACGGGGGGCAGCAGUGUGGAAUAUUAGUCGAUGAGCGCUAGCCUGAACCAGCCAAGUAGCGUGAAGGAUGAAGGCUUAUGGGUCGUAAACUUCUUUUGUAUAAGAAUAUGUAUUAUAUGAAUAAGGAUCGGCUAACUCCGUGCCAGCAGCCGCGGUAAUUC